rnacentral:misc_RNA from 1 species
UACGUAGGUGGCAAGCGUUGUCCGGAAUCACUGGGCGUAAAGCGCGCGCAGGCGGCGAUCUGCGUCUGGGGUGAAAGCCCAAGGCUCAACCUUGGGACUGCCUUGGAUACGGGAACGCUUGAGUAUCGGAGAGGCAAGGGGAAUUCCACGUGUAGCGGUGAAAUGCGUAGAUAUGUGGAGGAACACCAGUGGCGAAGGCGCCUUGCUGGCCGAUUUCUGACGCUGAGGCGCGAAAGCGUGGGGAGCAAACAGG